rnacentral:rRNA from 1 species
AUGUCGGACGUGACGGCGGUGAUGGAUCUGGAGGUGGAGGAGCCGCGGCUCUCGCUCCCGCCGGGCUUCCGGUUUCAUCCGACCGACGAGGAGGUGGUCACCCACUACCUCACCCCCAAGGCCGUCAACAACGCCUUCUCCUGCCUCGUGAUCGCCGACGUCGACCUCAACAAGACCGAGCCGUGGGAUCUCCCCGGGAAGGCGAAGAUGGGGGAGAAGGAGUGGUACUUCUUCGUGCACAAGGAUCGCAAGUACCCGACGGGCACGCGCACCAACCGCGCCACGGAGAAGGGGUACUGGAAGGCGACGGGGAAGGACAAGGAGGUCUUCCGCGGCAAGGGCCGCGACGCCGUCCUCGUCGGCAUGAAGAAGACGCUCGUCUUCUACACCGGCCGAGCGCCCCGCGGGGACAAGACGCCGUACGUGAUGCACGAGUACCGCCUCGAGGGCCAGCUCCCCCACCGCCUCCCCCGCUCCGCCAGGAACGAUUGGGCUGUUUGCCGGGUGUUCGACAAGGACUUGGCGGCGAAGAAUGCGCCGCCCCAGACGGCGUCGGCGGCCGUCGGGGUCAUGGAGGACCCGUACGCCUUCCUCGACGUUGACGACUUCUUCAACAACCCCGACCUGCCGAUGCUCAUGGACUCCCCGUCAGGCGCCGACGACUUCGCCGGCGCCUCGAGCUCCACCUCCAGCGCCGCCGUGCCGCUGGAGCCGGACAUGGAGCACCUUUCCAUCAAGACGGAACCGCCGGUGCCGCAGCAGCAGAUGCAGAGCCCCAACUACUUCUUCAUGCCGGCGACGACGGCCAACGGCAACCACGGCGGCGGCGCGUACUCGCCCUACCAGGCCAUGGGGGAGCAGCAGAGCGCGAUCCGCAGGCACUGCAAGCCGGAGGCGGCGUCUUCGUCGGCGCUGCUGAGCCCCUCGCUCGGCUUCGACACCGGGGCGCUCGCCGGCGGGGACACCUCGUUCGUGAUACCGUCGUCUCGGUCGUACCUCGAUCUGGAGGAGCUGUGCCGGGGCGAGCCUCCCAUGGACUACUCCAACAUGUGGAAGAUCUGA